CCUCCAUUUUUGCUGCUCUCUCGUCUCCAACAUGCUUUUGUUCUGAGACCCCACCAAGGCCUAGGUUUUUACAAGGUAGGAAGAUGAGAGAAGGAUGAAAGGCAAAAGGCAUGAGUUAGCUGGGUUUUUGUUUGUUUUUUAAUGAGGAAACAACUUUUCCAUAGUAUACUUCCACCAGCAUCUGACUGGCCAGAAAUACAGCACAUGGGUACCGCUUCAGUCAGGCAUCUUGGGAGAGGAGGUUUGUUGGAUUUCUUUCAACAGCUUUAUUCACACAUCACCCAUUCAAACUUUACAGCUCAGUGAUUUUCAAAUUCAUCGGGUUGUUCAGCCAUCACCACAACUGAAUUCAUUUUUACUAUCAUCACAAAAAGAAGCCUCAUACCCAUUAGGAGCCAUUCCUAAUCCCAUUGCCACCCCUGCUCUAGGCAGCCACAAGCCUACUUUCUGUUUCUCUAGAUUUGCCUAUCCUGGGACUUUCAUACAAACGGAAUCAUACAGUACGUGGCCUUCAGCUUCUUUCACCUAGCAUAACAUUGUUGAGGUUCAUCUAUAUUGUAGCAUGUAUCAGUACUUUAUUUCUUUUAAUUGCCCAGUUUUUCACUGUAAUGGAUAUAUACUGUUCAUUCACCAGUGUAUACACAUUCGAGGAAACUUUUUAGUUGAGCACAUUCUUACCUUGGAUAAAAUUGGGCUUCCGUUGGUAAGAAAGUAGGGGUGGCCAUUGGUGGGCAACUAGCAAUGUCUGCCCUGUGCAGAAAUGGGGUAAGGAAGUGGCCUCUGGCCUCCUUCCAUAGUGUAUUUAAUGCUCCAGAGUUUCGUCAGUUAUGAGAGGAAGCACAGUGAUUGUGACAUCUUAGCAAACACAGGGAGUGCCGUCAGCUUGCUGCUAGGUGGGUGAGUACUGCCGUUCCUGGAGGAGAAGGCCUGGCAGGGGUUACUACCUAGCACGUUAGCCUCUUAGUCUAUGUCCGGAAAUCCUCACUAUUCCAUGGGGAUUGCUGUUCCUUUGGCCUCUGGCCUUACUAUUUUCUGCUGGUCCAUAAUUCUGCCACCACUUUAUAGAUCUGGCCUUGCAAGGGUAUUUAUGUUCUCCUCAGUGUUUGCCCUUGGUAUCUGCCAUCAGAUGCCUUUCCUCUGGCUUCAUGGUCUGACUGCCUAGGACCUCUGGAAGUAAGCUGGAGAUUGGCUGGCUGUCUCCAUAAAAAUUCUUACAUAAAGAGCUUAAACAUUUAUUUAUUCCUUUAAUGAAAUAUCACAUGAAUUUAUUGGAUUAUAUUUUUUGUGCCUUUAUUUAGACUAUUUGUAUUCAUAUGAGGCUUGUUAAUUUUGGGAUUGAAACUGUUUGGUCACAGCACUACUUAAUGUACAUCUGAAAAAAGACCUUCCAGGCUGUCUGCACAACCCAGAGAACAGGACGUUCUGCGGACCCUGGUGGACUUGAGGAGGACUUGGUCACAGCCCCAGAAAAGCACCAGAGUUCAUACUUUGAAUGAAGUUCUUCUAACUCGUACCCUGCUCAGGCCAGAAUGGGCUUGACGUGGCCGUAAUCUCUCUGUCAGGAAGCGCAGUGUCUUGGUAAACCUGUGUUUAAGUUCUGUGUUGGAGUCUCUAGGCAGCAGCCCUCUGGCCUAUGUUCUCUGUUUCCCCCUAGGAAGACCCACAGAUGACCUAGCUUAGCGGAGGGCAGCUGUAUUUGACCUAACAGACAUUCUUGGUCAGCCAAGCAGACUCUUGUCUCGUGGUGGUCGCACACUUCCAGCCCUGUCCUGUCAGUCUGUUCUCAACACAGCAGCUAGAUGGAUCCUGUGAAAAGGUAAGGCAGAGCAGAUCAUGCUCUAGUUCAAAACCUUCCAAUGGCUCCCAUUUCACUCAAAGUCAAAGCCCUCACAAGAGCCUGCUAGUCUAGGCUGAAGAGGGUCUACAAAAGCCCCCACCUCACAAUUCAGAGACUCCCCUCUGCAGGAAGUUGUGUGAGUUGCUGGGGGUGGUGAGGCAGCCCUACCCUCCAGGAAGUGUGUUCUUGCCCAGCCCCAGCUCCCGUUCCCUCCCUGAGAUAACAGGGCCUUGUCACUGCACACAGGGUAGUCUCGAACUGGCACUGGGUACAAAGCCCAUUCUCAAAGGCUUGACAGGCAAGCUGCGGAGGCUGGGGAGACCCCAGUGAGGUCAGCCCACCCGGCAGCCAAGGUGCCUGACUUCUUGAUGAGCUGGUGUCAUGUCUAGGUGAUCCUGGGGUGAGAGAAGUUCAGCAGCAGCCUCCUUGGCUUUGGAGGGGGAGGGGUGUCUGCCGGUGCCGUCGGGAGGACACGGCCCAGCCUGUGUUGAAUAUUCUCACUCCACGUCUGGGGCCUCAGAGGCUGUACUGGAAGGACCUUUGUGCUGGGUGCCAGAGAUACAUGAUGAACGAGUCACAGGCCUGCCCUCUUGAUGUUUAUCAUCUAGCAGGGAGGCAGACAAGCAAACGGCCAGUGGGGCAAGCACGGGAGUAGCAGGAACUCGGAGGAUGGUAAACGCAGAACCCUGGGGGUGUGGCAGGAAGUCAGGGAAGGCUUCUGGGGAAGGCCACCAUCCAAAUCCUCAGGAAUGAAAGUUGCACCAAUCUUCAGUGAUUUCUUUAGUGAUGGAGACUUGGAGGAGUUUCUUUCCAACAGUUCUGAUAAGCAGAGCACUGUCACCUACUUCUUACACACCUGCACUGAUGUCACCUGGCCAUCCUGUGUGAGUCAGUAUCCUUACCUGGAAGCCCAGCCCAGAGUUGUGGUUCUCUCAUUCCUGGCACAAGGGAAGUGGAGUGGGUUCUGACGGGCACUGAGCAUCCACUGUGGGCCCUGCACUGUGCUGGGUGUCCUCUACGUGUUUGCAGCACGGCUCUGUGAGGUCAGGAUCGCUAUUUCCAUUCUAGAGAUGAGCAGGCCGAGGCUCAGAGGGAUUCCGUUUUGUCCCAGCCAUGCAACUGGGAAGAGGCCCAGCCUGGGUUCGCACAUGGAUCUUUCAGCCUGCAAGUCUUAGCCCUUCCCUCAGAACUCAGGGCUCACCUUUGUGCCCUCUGACACUCCUGAGCAAAGGGAGGGGGACAUUUGUGGUGUCUCUCUCACAGCCUGCAGGCAUCCGAAUGUUGCAGUGGCCAGGGCUGUGACUCAGUGUGUUCUGAGAGCACCCCCAAACUUCUUACUCAGUCUCUGCGGUAGUCUCGGGGAGGCCAACUCCCUUGACAAGUUAAACUCUGGGGCUGAGCCCUAUUCCCUCUCACCGCCUGCCUGCCUGCCCAGCAGGAACCAGUACUCUUGCUGGCCAGUCUCAGGGAGACAGACAGACAGACAGACUGACCGACACCCCUUCCCCAUAGAUGGUUCCCCUUAGCAGCAGGUAACACGUUAAGGCCCAUGUGGAUGCUGUGACAGUUCUGCAUCAAACCCUUCCUGGGGGCCCAUCAGGGCUCUUCACUGAAUCCUUCACCUCAAAUCUCUGAGUCAGAAUUUCCAUUCUCAUUUUAUAGAGGAAAAAGAGGCUCAGGGAGGUUAUGUUUUUUCAAGGUCGCGGUGUCUGAUUGGGAACCCAACUGACCACAAGUCUAUAUUCUUACCCCAGCCCUCUCUCCUCCAGCCCACCCUCUCUCCCUUUCUCUGGCCCCAUCAGGAGCCGCAGACCCAGCUGCAUCUCCGGAACUCGCGCUGCAUCGCUCAGGGUGGUUCUCUGAACAGUGGGCGCUCUGCCGGGUGCCAGGCUAAGGAGCCUGUGUUUUCUCUUGGGGACAAGGACAGUUAGCAGGACACCAAUGCAUGGUCCAGGAGAGGUGACUGCAGAGUUUCAGUUAGGUCGCCGAGACGUCUUGUGGCCAAAGGCUCACCUCCCAGCCCAGCCUUCACAUCACUUUUUCACAUUUCACAUCAGGAGAAGUUGUGAGCAAUUAGAACUGGGCUGGGGGCUCCCUGUCCUGGCUGUGUGUUGUAAUCCCCUGACCUGGGUCCCACCCCAGAGAUCCUGAUUCAGUUGGUCUGGGUUGGGAAAGAAAUAUUACUAUUUUUAAAAAAUCUUCCUUACCCCAGGUGAUCCUAGUUUGCAGCCCCAGGUCAGGACCCCUGGUUUGGAUGGUGCAGAUUCAUGCUGCCCCCACCACCUCCCCACCGCCCUCCGGUUCAGACUCACUGGCCCCAUAGGAGGUUCUGAACUGGAACCCAGUGGUGGUGGAGGGGCCUGAGCUGUGGGGCCUCUGCUGAGUGGACCCCUGAUGCCCACUGGGGCUGGCUGGGCCAUUUGGAGAGCCGGACUCUUCACACAUCUGGACAGGGCUGGGCAUAUCCUGGAAGAAAGGAUCCCAGUUCCUGGCUCACCUCUCCCUCAGGAUUUCAGUGCUCUAACUUUUUUCCUUGGAAGUCUGACUUUAUAGUCCUCUGGGCUUGGCUGAGUGCCACCCCCUUUUGCAGCCACGGAGCCAAGGGCCAAAUGAGUGGGACACUCCCCCGGGGCUCCCAAGGCGACAGGCAUCUUCUCUUCCUUUCUUCCUCUGUUCAUUCCGCUUCUGUCAGUCACUCCUCUUUGGCAAGCCCUCCGCCGCUGCUGAGUCAGGGAACUGAUAAGGAGACACAGGCGACACACCCUCAUGGAUGACAGACAGCUGAGUGGCCAUGACAGAGGGUGCGGAGGAUGCAGCGGGGUGGGUGCGCUCUGGCAGGGCCAGUGUGGGACAGGGCUGUGCACAUUUGCCUGUCCAAUCAUGUUCUUGCUUUUGGCCAGCCCGUCCUCUGGGCUGACUCCCAGCCUACGUCUUACUCUGCCCUAGAGAAACCAGAAGUGAGGGGUCUGAGCUGUGGCAGGAGUUCUCAUGGGGUUCACAGUGCCUCUGAGCAAGGGGCGUUGGGGCAGCUGAACUCACGGGGGCUCCUUCUUGGGCACCUGAUGCUCCUCAGACCGCAGCCUCCCUGCCUGUGCCGCCGCCUCUCCGGGUGUUGGUGGGGCACUGAGGAGGGUCGGGGCAUCAGAGCCCUUCCAGGCAGAGCUCCUCGUCUAGGGGGGCUUCCUGUUUGAUGACUCCUCCUCCCUGCAGGGACACACUGGCCCAGCCGCCUGCCACAGGCUAGAGUCCCCGGGAACCCCUUCCUUUCUUCUCACCUGACCCAAUCUCACUAUACUCCCAGCCCAACUUUCCCCAUAGGAGCUGAGUGUUUGGAGAGAGCCCUAUUAUCAAGAAGGUGUAGAAACCCUGAAACACUGCCAGGUAGCUUCUUGCAAGCCAUGAGGCAUUAGGGCCAGCCCUGAGAAGCCUGGAGCUCUGAUGCAGGUCCCCCAGGCUCCGAGCCCUGAUGAGGGUCCCCCAGGACCUGAGCUCUGACAGUGGUCCGUCAGGCAGUAAGCUCUGUAACACCUUCUGAAUAGGGAGUCUUCUGCCGUAGGACCUGGCCUCAGACACUGCAGCUCUGCUGGAGGCUCUCACAACAUCCAUUUUCAGAAUGAAUGAAUCAGUAACUGACUGGCCCACUUCCCUCUGGCUGUCCCUCCUCCUCAUUAGCCCAGGAUUCCACACUCCACCCCACCCACCCCAGGAGUGUCUGCUGACCAUCUGCUCAUCGUUGCCUGCCUUCACCUUUUCCUUCUUUGAGCACUGCACUCUGUGCCCUCUUGGGGGGCAUUUAAGCCCAUCCUUUCCCUUCCACCACACGCUGCCCUGUGCCUCUACUCUGUCUCCUCAUUCCACGAGCACCUCCUCAUUCUUCUCCCAUCAUGGGCAGCAGCCUGCAAAGGACUGGGAGGGCUCGAGAGGCUCCUGGCUGGCCAGCUUUCCCAGGAGGCCAGCACUUCGCAGGAGAGGAUGCGGGUCUGCCACUGGGCCCUGGGGAGCACACAGGAGGCUGCCUUCCCUGAUGGGGAUGGUGAAGGAAGGCCUGUCUGGAAACCCAGGGGAUGAAUAGUGAGGAUGGAGGGAAGGGUCUAUGAGGAGGAGAGGGUCAAAGAGAGGAUGGGCCUCACUCCCUGAGGGCAGAUUUAUGGCAGGGCCAGGCGUCUGCUGCUUCCCAUACUGUAUCACAUGUGGCUGCAGGUCCUGACACAGGAGCUGGAGAGAGAUGGGCAAAGGGAGGGAAGAGGGGAGGAUCAGCCUGAGCGAGCUUGCUCCCGGAGGGCCCGAUGGCAGGCUCCCAGUGCAGAGAGAAGGUGCCUAGUGGAUUCCGGGACAGGGCAGAGGAAGUCAGGGCAGCAUCCAGAGGGGCGCACUCCACUUAUCCCCAGUCCAGCGAGUUCCAAUCUUUUCGAGCAUAUCAAUCCCCUUUUGGUAACCAAAACCCUGAUGUCUUUCACAUGAUUGACAGUGGUUUUGCCUUCUCUUUAAGCUAGUAAUUUCCAGAAAGUGAAUUAAAAGCAAACUGUCUACUUAGGUAAGGGCGUGGGACAAAAUGGUCCCAAAUGCUCUUUAGGAUGGAAUGUUCACCAUUUUUAGAAAGUCAGCUUCAUUUCAAUAGAUUAAUUCCUUCCUCUCAGAUUUGGUGUACUGUUUUAAUUCCAUCAAAUACACAACUGGUGUAUAUUUGGACUUCAUUAGUUGCAUUAUUUAAGAAGCCCAGGAAUAGCACCAGUUUGCUUAGAAAUACUUUUUUUAAAAUUAUGGAAAUCGUCAAUUAUAAAAGUAAAGAAAAUAGUAGAACAAAUCCCCAUGUGUCCAGGACCAGCUGUAAUAAUUAGCAUAUGAUGGAUCUGGUCUCAUCUCCAAACCCCACUCCCACUCCUUCCUCUGCCUCUAGGCACUGGAUUCAUUCAAAGUAAAUUCCAGACAGAUCGUUUCAUCUGUGCAUACUUUAGUUCCUAAGAAGUAAGGACUCUUUCUUCAAAAACAUAACCACAUGCUAUUGUGGCACCUAAAAGUUAACAAUUAUUCCUUAAUGCCAUCAUGGAAUAUUUAUUCCAUCAUGUUUAAAUUCCUCAGUUGUUUCAUGAAAUGGCUUUUUUAUAAAUUGUUUGUUUAAAACAUCCAAACAAAGUUCACACAUUGAUUGAAUUUGAUGGGUAUUACUUAAAUCUCCUGCAAUAUCUGGCAUUUCUGCCUCUCUCUUUUUAAUUUUGUUCCCCAGUCAUUUAUUUAUUGAAGAAACCAAGUCAUCUGUCCUGCAGAGAUUCUCAUAUUCUGGACUUUGUUGAUUGCACCCUCUUGGUGUCAUUCACAUGUUUCUCUGUUCCCGCUUUCCUGUGAAUGGUAGUUAGGUCUGGAGGUUUAAUCAGAUUCAUGGGCAAUUUUCUGUAAGAACAUUUCAUAGAUGGUGCAAUUUGGUUCUUAUUUUUUGCAGCAAGAGUUGCAUAAAUGCUUGUCUCUGUUUUUGUGAGCUAUUCAUUGUAGAGUGAUGCACUGCAGAAUUUUUCAUCAACAUUCUAGCUAGUGGUUUUAAAGGACGGUCAUUAACAAACAUUUCCUAGAUUAAUUAUUACAUUAGGUUGUGCAAAAUGAUUUUCAAAUUCUGUCCACCCCUUUUGAACUUAUUAGCUAACAUUCAUCUACAAAGAACUUUCCUACAUCAACUAUUUAGUUACCCUGAUGUAUAGUUUGUGCAGGAAUUGCAAUAGAUGCUUGCCUUUUACCAAUUUUCAAAACAAUAAGCUGGUGUCCUAAUAAUUUCUAAAGGUGACCAGUGAUGUGGGUGUCUGUCUGUCUGUCUGUCUGGGACCUUAUCUUUCCAAGAGCUACCAAGUUAGCCACCACAGCCAAAGACAUGCAACUCCUAGGUCAGAGAUGGAGACCUUUUUCUCACAUCCCAGCAAGCAACAUGCACUUCGUGUUAGUGUCAGUCCUCUUAUCUCCCAGGUCCCAUGGGGUGACAUGGAGCAGCCCAGGUGGAUGUCAUAAUGUAAUAGGCCUGCAUCACAGUGAGAAACACUUAACUUGGAGGAUGAGGAGUCACCUUUGUCCUGGAGGAAGAUGUUGAUCAUCCUCCAGGUUUGCUCUCUGCUAACAUAACCCUGAUCAAUGACCUGAGUAAAAAGUGGCCAGGGCCUUGCAUCUUUUGCAUAUCCAUAAAAGACAUGCAGGGGUGCUCAGUGCCCAUGGCCUGAGUCAGUGUUUUUGUUUUUGUAUUAUUAUGCAUGGAUUCAGUUUUUUAAGUUUAUUUGAUGUAAUAUUUCAUUGCAGUCAUUAUUCAUUUUGAUGCUCAAAUCAUUCUGUAUCUGGUCAGUGGGACUUGACUCCUGUGAUAUUCUGACAUGACCCCAGUAGUCUCGGGUAGCAUCCUUGCUUUCUAGUUUAACAAAGUUUUGCAGGCUUACCUUGUACAUUUCUUGCUUCAGCCUCUGGACAUUUCUCCCAGAAGACUUUUAUUGGGAUAUGGUAUUUAGAGACCAUAAUCUAGGUGCUGGGGUGCUCAUUGCUACUGGUUUUCUGUAAGACCUCAUAAGAUCCCAACCCCGAGAUGGAUCCACAGUCCGUGAGGCACGAGCCUGCUGUGACUCCCCUUUGCCUGGCAAAGCAACAAAGCCGCUCUUUUCUAAUGCUUCCAAACUCUACCUCCAAGUAUCCACCUGUUUUCAGGGAACAGAGUCUGGUUUUGUAGCAACAAUACCAAGAAUGUAUUCAUAAUUUUCUUUAUUCUGUUUCAUAGCUGCAUGGAGCACCACUGUAUUGACAUGCUCUGGUUUAUUAUACCAGUCCCUGAUUGCUGGAAAUGCAGAUUUCCAGACUUUUGCUAUUAUAAACUGCGCUUUGGUCUUAUAACAUGUUUUGUAUUUUUUGCUAGUGUAGCUUUGGGAUAGGUUCCUAGAAGUAGGACUGCU